rnacentral:rRNA from 1 species
UACGGAAGGCAGCAGUGGGGAAUAUUGCACAAUGGGCGCAAGCCUGAUGCAGCCAUGCCGCGUGUAUGAAGAAGGCCUUCGGGUUGUAAAGUACUUUCAGUCGUGAGGAAGGUGUUAAGGUUAAUAACCUUAGCAAUUGACGUUAGCGACAGAAGAAGCACCGGCUAACUCCGUGCCAGCAGCCGCGGUAAUACGGAGGGUGCGAGCGUUAAUCGGAAUUACUGGGCGUAAAGGGCACGCAGGCGGUUAAUUAAGUUGGAUGUGAAAUCCCCGGGCUUAACCUGGGAAUGGCAUUCAAGACUGGUUAGCUAGAGUCUUGUAGAGGGGGUUAGAAUUCCAUGUGUAGCGGUGAAAUGCGUAGAGAUGUGGAGGAAUACCGGUGGCGAAGGCGGCCCCUGGACAAAGGACUGACGCUCAUGUGCGAAAGCGUGGGGAGCAAACGAGGGAUUAGAUACC